UGUGAGGUAUGCUGGAGGUAUCAGAAGUGCGAAUGCUGACAUAAGUAACGAUAAAGCGGGUGAAAAGCCCGCUCGCCGGAAGACCAAGGGUUCCUGUCCAACGUUAAUCGGGGCAGGGUGAGUCGACCCCUAAGGCGAGGCCGAAAGGCGUAGUCGAUGGGAAACAGGUUAAUAUUCCUGUACUUGGUGUUACUGCGAAGGGGGGACGGAGAAGGCUAUGUUGGCCGGGCGACGGUUGUCCCGGUUUAAGCGUGUAGGCUGGUUUUCCAGGCAAAUCCGGAAAAUCAAGGCUGAGGCGUGAUGACGAGGCACUACGGUGCUGAAGCAACAAAUGCCCUGCUUCCAGGAAAAGCCUCUAAGCAUCAGGUAACAUCAAAUCGUACCCCAAACCGACACAGGUGGUCAGGUAGAGAAUACCAAGGCGCUUGAGAGAACUCGGGUGAAGGAACUAGGCAAAAUGGUGCCGUAACU
rnacentral:rRNA from 1 species